rnacentral:lncRNA from 1 species
UGUGUGGACUGGCACGUGUUAAGGUUUUUAAGAGAGGUAAGAUUGACAGGUGGAAGCAAAAGGUGUGCAGACAACAAGGUGACAGCUUUUCUCUUACAGAAUCCCAGACUCAACAGCACAUUUCCUGACGGGAAGGGCUUCUCUGUCUGGGAGAGGCCUCCACUUCAUUCUCAUAAGCCAAAUCUGAUCCUGGCUUUGGGUAAACCUGCUCUCAAUUUAAGA